GAAGAGAGAAGGCAGAGGUUUCAAGAGGAAGAACAAAAGAGGCAACAGGAGGGCCGGUUCCUGCAGCUUUUGGAAGAGGCAAAGAGGAAAUUCGAAAUGCAGACGGCGCGCCUGGAAGAACAGCUAUCCCAGGAAUGGCAGUUCUGCUAUGAAAUGCAAGCCAAAGCCGAC